rnacentral:piRNA from 1 species
UGCCCAGGAAACCUCUCCCAAUAGUCCCCAU